AAUGAACAAUCUACGGAUGUUUUAGGUUGAUACCACCGCGGGUAUACAUAAGGGACUAACUAUUCCUAAACCCGGCUGUUAGCAACAGAGGUAAAUGAACAAUCUACGGAUGUUUUAGGUUGAUACCAUUUCAGGUAUACUUAAGGGACUACCUAAUAAGAGUUAAACCGGGAAAAACCAUCACAUUUUCAAGAGAUGUGUACUUUCAAAACAGUCAUGUUUAGGUAAAAGACUACUUUCAAAACAUCCGGGUCUUGGUAGAAGACUACUUUUAUACUAGUAGGAACUAUGGGAUUUUCUAGAGUUUUCAUACUUAUACUAAAUGUUUCAUCAAUCAUUCACCAGUCUUUCAUAUCAACAAAUCAAAGCAAUGACAUUAAAUACUUAUGAACUCACCAGCUUAAAUGCUGAUCUACUCUUUCAAAUAACUUGUACUCUCAGGUUACAAAUAGACAGGUGCCGACACAAGGUUUAGAGAAGACGGAGCAGUCAAGAAUCGUAUUUUAUUUUUGAUAAGUUAUCAUGCUGUCUUGUACUAUGAAAGGAAACACUUGUAACUAAAAUUAUACUAUUAAUGCAAUGGAUGAUGUUGUUGCCUUUGUACUACUUUACAUUUGUUGUGAUGCAUACAUGACGUCCUCCGCCCCAGAACGUUUCCGCCGUUCGUGGUUUUGGGGUAUGACAGAUUGGUAUCAAAGCAUUGUUUAUAGUGAAUUGAGUAUAUCAACCCAUAAAAGAUAUACUAACUAUAAAUACAAUGGGAUUAAAAAUACUCUGAUUUAGAGUUUAUACUUUAAAUAAUAAAAUAUUUAAGUAAGUAUACGUGCCUGCAUUCAUACUAAAAUCAGUGUCACUAGGACAGUACAAAAGAAUUACGAUUGUUGGGCAACACAAGUAGGCUUAGAGACAUAUGGUCAAAACUGGGAAGAUAUAGCCUGAUCGCCUAUAUUAUCCGAGGGUUGACUAGCAUGUGCCUAAGUUUAAGUGUGUGGUCGCAACAAUGCUAAAAUCUUUCUAACCCUACCACAAUGAGAACAAUAGAACAUAACAUUAAAAUUAAAAUACUAUAGGAGUAUUUGGUGUUACUAUAAGUACUUUAUACUUGAGAAUUAAAACGGGAUCCUCAUUACUAAGUUGAUAGUUGCUAAGUGGAUACACUAAGGCUACAUGUAAUUAGGAUGUUAUAGACUUAGAAUCAGUGAUAAUUUUGCCUUACCCCUAUUCUGUGUGAAUUUGGAAAUAAGGUCACUUAUUCGAAGGUCUAUCCUGUUUAGAUUACACAUAGCUGGUAUGCACUUCACAAAUAGCGAUGUAACUAAUGAGGGUUUUCUAAAUAAUUAUCUAGAUAGUUCGUCUAAUAAUUAUCCACUUACCCUAAAUUCUCGCAUAGAAAUCAUAGUUGGACUCCAUCCCCUUGACAACCAGUAUCUUCCGAAUGAAGUCAUAGCUGGUUGGUUUGGAGAAGAACCAGAGAAUGAUCAUCCUAUCCCUUUGGAUGAUCACCAUGAUGAAAACCUUUCAGCCGAUGCUAAUUCCGAACUAGAGGUUGAGAACCUACCCCGAGCAACUCCCUUUCCAAUUCCUAACCCUCGUCCGGCUCUUCAUGGCCCGACGCCUGAUUCGGUGGAAUGCUUGGAAACAUGAAGCCAAGAACAAGAUCAGCCCAUGCCAUUUAUUGGCGACCGAAACUUUUACGACCUGAGCAAUGGGGGCUCAGCAGGUAGAAUCUUGCCAAUCAUGGUCCGCAGAGUGGCCCAAAAUGAGAUUCAAGGCAGGACAGCCCAACAUCAGAUUGCCGAAGUUGUCACCGAUGCAAGAAUGAAUACCCUCCACACCACUCAUCUAGAAGAUGCUCACAAGAGAUCAGAAAGAAACCAUGAGAACCUGCUGCAAACACUAGCUGAAAACCCGAGCCAAAGUCAUAGAGCUCCAAGUACGCCAGAGGGUGUAAUAGAGACACCUACUUGACAUGGAACGUCAAUUGGUUGAACUAAGAAUUCACCAGAGGAAUUACCGUCACCAGUAGUAGACGCUUUACUUUAUUUCCCUUACAAAAAGAGGAAUCGUAUUCUUCUGUCUAUGCCUGAUGUGGCAUUUUCUAUGAAAUUAUCUUGUACCGUAAGUACUUUAGUUAGGUCUUUAUACUGUCAGGAACUAUCUCCUGUGUAUAUGAUGUAAGACCUUUACAAGGCCAUUUUCCUGAACCUUUACGCCGUAAAUAUCCAAGAUAUUGACCGCCGGCUAACUUUUGUGUCAUUUCCAUCAUUCAAGUACUCUUAUCAUACUCUCAUUGGAGUCUAUCUGAAACCUGCUUUAGUUAAGUCAUUGGACCAUAGCAAGUUAGAUACGGAGACAUUUCCAAGUCUCUUUCAGUGGUUGGAUUUUUGUUAUUCACCAACCCACGAUACCUCAACUUGUACAACAAACGUCUUGAGACCAUUCUACGAACUUACCUCUAUUCAUUACUAGGACUGCAUCAUAGGGAUGUAGGUCAAACCUUCGCGAACAUACUUUCAUUCUGUACUAGGACUGCAUCAUAGGGAUGUAGGUCAAACUUUCGAGAACAUCGUCGUACUCUUUACAUGAACAAUCUAAGUACAUCAGGGUCAACCAGAAUCGCUCACAAAAUCCUUACUUUUCGUGUUAUAGAAUCAUGUCGUCAUCCAGAAGCAAUAAGUCGAUCAGCGAAACCCCCACUUUUCCUAUGGACGCCGCUACCUUUCAAACAACAGUUACAGCUGCCAUGGUGGCUGCCGUAACCGCGGUCCUUGCACACCGUAGCACUAAUAGCACAGUCAAUACAACUUAUGGGAACGAAGUUUCCAAUCGUCGUAUCCAUCCAGGAAGUCGUCAAACAGUAUCAGUCAUAGGCUCGCAAAGCCGAAAAACAGAAAACAAGAAACGAAAGCGUCAAGCCCGGAAGGAACGCAAGAGAUCCCAAAAGCUGGCUAUACAACAGCAGCAAGUGGAAACCCCUGCCAUCCCAGUACCGAGCAGGCCAUACGAGGGAAAACUCCCGAAGUGUGAUAAGUGUAGUUUCCAUCAUCAUAGGGCUUGCCAUGAGAUGCAGUGUUGCAAUUGCCUAAACAUAGGGUACCAUGCUCGUAACUAUGGAGCACCGGCGCGACCCAUCACUCAAGUCCCUUUCAUCGGGACUAAACCUGCACACAAGAUUUGUUAUAGCACCGAACGAUUUAAGAAGCAGUUUUCAAAGUGGAGUAACGAGGAAGGCACUCGUGUCCACAUAACAUUGGAUAAACACUGCAAUCUCGUCUCCAAGGCUAGUACUAGCCAGUCAUGCCACCAAUGCGGUGAGGUAGGACACUUCAAGAAAGAUUGCCCGAUAACAAAGAACUCUGGCGCAGAUGGGAAAAUUCUCAAGAUCACAGCUGCAGGAGAGCCUACUCCGGAAUCACGUUAAAUGUAAUUUGGGGGUUUCGUUGUAACAGACUUAUGAACUAUCUUGAACUAGUGCAACUAGAGUCUUACCUUUUGCGAGAUCCUGUCUGUAUAGGAAUUCUCGUGCUGCGUAUACUUGUCUUUUGUAGUAUAUCUUAUUCGCAUCAAUAGUCUUGUGGUAAAUCUAAAGUACUGUAACUCUGUCCAUGGUUGCAUAGUUGUGUUUUGUCUGUAAUCGUCUAUGUUUAAUUCUAAUGUCUUUAANUCUUUUUGAUUAAGGACUUAUCAUACUACUUGAUUUAAUUCUAUUCUCACAAGAUGCAGCUUCAUACGUACAUCUAUUCCUCCGAAAUCGUCUUUCUAGCAAAACCUUCAUUCCAGAACAACAAAGUACUCAUACAUAGAGCACCUGAUGUUUCUCAUACUUUCCGAAGAAAAACUCAACAAAACCGCCCCGAAGUACCACUCGUGCAGUACGUCAAGUUUAAUCCAAAGACCCACAGUUUCAAGCUUAUUUAUAUAGGACUCGUAUACCCGAGACUGUGAUUGAUGAGCCUGGUAUAGGUUCUANAGUGAUUAUGCUACCAUGCGAAUAAACUUAGAAGCCAACACGUGCCCUUUCUGUCGAUUGGGACAAGAAAGUCAGAUAGAACAAAAGUACCUAUCCUUUUUCCUUAAUUCAUGAGUAAUCAUACUUUAAUUUAGAUCUUCACGUCAUCUAAUCAACCACAAGGUUCUGACUUCAUAAUCAGUAUGAAUUGGUUUUGUUCUUAUACAAGAGGAAAGGUCACUGCCUAUACCUCGAGACAGCUUAAGACGCAGGAAGUUAACUAUACAACACAUAAUCUUGAAUCAGGGACAGCGGUAAUUGUAUGGAAGAUCUGGAGGUACUAUUUGUAGGAUAAAAGGUGUACUAUCCUCACAAUCCACAAAAACAUUCAACAUACGUUCGACCAAGAAGAGUUGUCAUGACAGUAAAGUCAAACAAAAGAAGCAGAGUCGUGCCCCGAUAGGGACAGGUUAGCUAGAAUGCCAAGUAAGGGACUGAGGUCACUUAAGAACAUGAGAAACAAAUAAAACUUCUAUCCGUGGCAUGUUUACCGGUUCUAUUCAAAUUCUAAUUUCGGGACGAAAUUCCCUCUAACUAAGGGAUGAUGUGACAACCCGAUAUUCCAAGACGAUAUGAUGGAACGCAUGUCAAAUUUUGGUCAAAAUUUAAUUUUCCUAAAAUCUUAUUUGGGUUAAAUAAAGUUGAAGGAAUCGUAUCAAGGUUUCCAAGCAUAUAAAGAACACUAAAAUCCGAGUUAUAACGAAGAAGUUAUGACCAUUCUAAGUUUCUCCAACAGAUAAACGGCAAUACGAAGUUACGUAAAAACUCGAAUCGGAGAUCGAGCGACUUUUGGCCGGAAUGACCUAAACGAGAAUUGAAGGUCUCGUCAAUGGUAUUUCAGCGCUAAAAAGUCUGGCAAAAACCGACGUCAGAUAAAGAUGUUAUGAAUUUUUAAAGAAAUUCCUUAAUCACGUCAUUUUAAUAAAUAAAUAGUAAAAAUUAUUUCAUAAUUUUCCAAUGUAAUCUAAACAAAAGUUGUAGAUCUUAGUCUCACCUUCGCGUGGAUAUAAAGAACGUCGAAAACGGAGUUCGUAUGAAGGAGAUAUGCAAUUUUGAAGUUUAUUUAAAAUAAAUAUAAAUUUAAAUAAAAACUCCCGGUAUUAUCCGAAGGGAGUCAUCGGAUAGGACCGGAGUACGCCCUGCGUACCCUCGUACGCCCCGCGUACUUAGAUCGAAGGCCUCGGAUCGUCCACAUCGCCCUAUGCGAAGCUACCGACCCGCCCGUCCGACCCGUCGUCCCAUCCGAAGUGCGUAAGCAAUGACGUCUUGUACGCGCUGCGUACCCUCGUACGCCCAGCGUACCGAGGCGGGUCAGCACCCCUAUAAAAGGGAUGCGAGGCUUUCCGAAAAUUUUGCUCACUUCUCUCUUUUCUCUCACGAUCUUGCCUCGAUUUCCGUGCCCGUUCGAACCCGAAGCUCUGGUCUUUUUGCUCAAGUCCCGAGGGUCGAUUUUACUCCCGAGAUUCCCGAGAAUCCCGAGAAAAAUCCGUUUUCCGAGACGAAACUCUGCCCGGUUUUCCAUCUCGCUAUCUUCAAACUUUCAGGUGAGUUCAUACCCCUAUAAUCCACACUUUUAAAUGUUUUAUAAAUAUUUUUAUAUGCUUUUAAGGGGGGGAAUACAAGUAAAACACACGAUGAUUAUCGUAUGUUAUAUAAAGUUUCAUUAUACACUUUUUAUCAACGGAAUCGCAUGUGAUUUAUAAUUAUUAUAAAGAAACUUUCGUAUGCAAAAUGUAUCACGAUAACAUCAUAUCUUUUGAAAUGAAAAGUGUUGCUAUUUAUAUACAAAUCAAACACUUUGCUUAUACCGUAUGUAUAUGUGUCCACCUAUCAUACUACAAACAUACGAUUAUUUUGGCACGAAAAACAUCAAUAUUUUGGGAUACUUCUUGUUAAUAAAUCAAUCAUAUGUGAUUUAUAACUAGUAUACAAAUGGAUUUACUACAAGUUUAACAGUUUCACUAAACAUAUUACUUCAAAUGACUUUCUUAAACGUUUUUACAUGAUUAAAGCUCGUUAUCAAACUGUCUUACAUACUGUAAGCUUCCUUUCAAAAUCGGUUACAAAGGUGUUUUCAAACAAUGGUUUUCCGUGUACUUAAACUGUCUUAUCAAACAAAAUACUUUCAAUCAUUUUAUAAACUGACAUCAAGUCACAAAUUCUUUAUUAGACUUUUCAACGGUUUUACAAAACUUCUUUAUGCUUUUAUAUUAUAAAUUGCAUGCCUCUAUAUGUAUAGUUAUAUAAGAAAUGUUUAAAAGACUUAGAAAGGCUAUCCACCCUAUUUCCUUUUCGCGCCUUGAGAUGUGGUCUGGUGGGAUAUUGGGUAUUCGUCCGAAAGUCGUUUAAAUAUUAGUUAUAUAUCAUGUAUACAUAUAUGGUCAUAAAUGUUCCAUCAGUUAAUUUAGUUCCGAUACUCUUAGAUAGCAAUGGUGUAUAAACCUACUUGGUCACUCAUCAAUUACAUUCUAGUAAACUAUUAUAGGAAUAGUUUAGAGUAAACAAAACAUUUUCCCUACUACCAGAAAUUACACCAGAGUCAGUUCAUUCAUGAGUCACUACUACAUGUAAUAUGAAGGAAUACUCUUACAUGAAUACUUAUACAUGAAUACUUUUACAUAGACAUUAUAUGGCAAAUUACUACUACAUGUUAUAUGAAAGAAUACUCUUACAUGAAGGCUUAUACAUGAAUACUUUUACAUAGACAUUAUAUGGCAGAUUACUACUACAUGUUAUAUGAAAGACUACUCUUAUAUGAAUACUUAUACAUGAAUACUUUUACAUAGACAUUAUAUGGCAAAUUACUAUUACAUGUUAUAUGUUUAGAUAUGGUUACAUCGUUCGCCUUUCUAUCUUUACCUUGUGAUACAAUCACAUCAUCGACGAGAUAGAUUGGGACUUUAUCUCCUAGUACCACAUGAUACUUUGAGGGACUAACCAUUCCGACAACCACUGUUAGCUACAGAGGUAAAUGAACAAUCUACGGAUGUUUUAGGUUGAUACCACCGCGGGUAUACAUAAGGGACUAACUAUUCCUAAACCCGGCUGUUAGCAACAGAGGUAAAUGAACAAUCUACGGAUGUUUUAGUUUGAUACCAUUUCAGGUAUACUUAAGGGACUAACUAAUAAGAGUUAAACCGGGAAAAACCAUCACAUUUUCAAGAGAUGCGUACUUUCAAAACAGUCAGGUCUAGGUAAAAGACUACUUUCAAAACAUUCGGGUCUUGGUAGAAGACUACUUUUAUACUAGUAGGAAAUAUGGGAUUUUCUAGAGUUUUCAUACUUAUACUAAAUGUUUCAUCAAUCAUUCACCAGUCUUUCAUAUCAACAAAUCAAAGCAAUGACAUUAAAUACUUAUGAACUCACCAGCUUAAAUGCUGAUCUACUCUUUCAAAUAACUUGUAUUCUCAGGUUACAAAUAGACAGGUGCCGACACAAGGUUUAGAGAAGACGGAGCAGUCAAGACUCGUCUUUUAUUUUUGAUAAGUUAUCAUGCUGUCUUGUACUAUGAAAGGAAACACUUGUAACU
rnacentral:lncRNA from 1 species